GACGAACGCUGGCGGCGUGCUUAACACAUGCAAGUCGAACGGAAAGGCCCUGCUUUUGUGGGGUGCUCGAGUGGCGAACGGGUGAGUAACACGUGAGUAACCUGCCCUUGACUUUGGGAUAACUUCAGGAAACUGGGGCUCAUACCGGAUAGGAGCUCCUGCUGCAUGGUGGGGGUUGGAAAGUUUCGGCGGUUGGGGAUGGACUCGCGGCUUAUCCGCUUGUUGGUGGGGUAGUUGCUUACCAAGGCUUUGACGGGUAGCCGGCCUGAGAGGGUGACCGGCCACAUGGGGACUAAGAGACGGACCAGACUGCUACGGGAGGCAGCAGUGGGGAAUAUGGCAGAAUGGGGGGAAGUCUGAUACGACAACGCCGGGUGCGGGAUGACGGCCUACGGGGGAUAAACAGCUGUGGCCGGUGACGAAGCGGGAGUGACGGUAAUGGGUAAGGAAGCACCGGCUAACUACGUG
rnacentral:rRNA from 1 species